rnacentral:tRNA from 1 species
CCUUCGAUAGCUCAGUUGGUAGAGCGGAGGACUGUAGUGGAAUCUCUUCGGGCAUCCUUAGGUCGCUGGUUCGAAUCCGGCUCGAAGGA